AAGUCGUAACAAGGUUUCCGUAGGUGAACCUGCGGAAGGAUCAUUAACACGUAUCCAAACGUUAAAACAACCCUGUGAACCUUCAGCGUGUUCUUGCAGGACAUCAAAACAGCAAUCCCGAGUAAAUCAGGCGCUCAAGAAUUACAGAUUUUGGUUUUGGGAAGUUCUGUGUGUACGUGGACGCUGCAAUUGAGCGCUAGAUAAAGCUGUCAAGCGGCAGGAAAAAAAUGUUCAGGGUGGCGCAGUCAACGAUCGCUGUAGGUCCACACGACCGGCGACCGGGGUGGAGGCGAAAGCCCCUACGUCAUCCCUAUGUACCCUCCGGGACUUGGCGAAAGCUGACUCCGUCAUAAAUCGAACAACUGUUAACAAUGGAUAUCUUGGUUCUC
rnacentral:misc_RNA from 1 species